AGGGUUGUGGCUCAGUGGUGGAGCGCACGCCUGGCAUGCAUGAGGCACUGGGUUCGAUCCUCAGCACCACAU
rnacentral:tRNA from 1 species